rnacentral:rRNA from 1 species
AGGACGAACGCUGGCGGCGUGCUUAACACAUGCAAGUCGAACGGUAAGGCCCCUUCGGGGGUACACGAGUGGCGAACGGGUGAGUAACACGUGAGCAACCUGCCCUUGACCCUGGAAUAACAACUGGAAACAGCUGCUAAUACCAGAUACGACCUUCGGCGACAUCGCCUGGAGGUGGAAAGCUCCGGCGGUCAAGGAUGGGCUCGCGGCCUAUCAGCUUGUUGGUGAGGUAACGGCUCACCAAGGCUUCGACGGGUAGCCGG